GGGGGCGGGGGCGGGGCUGGGGACGGGGGAGGCUGCUCUCCAAGGCCGCGGCUGAAGCCGGGGGUCACGUGACACCGCCUGCUGCGCGCCCUGGUCAUAUGCCGGGGGCGGGGCGCCGCUCGUGUCGGUUUCGUUCUGUGCUCGUCUGCCGUAGCGCCGGCCCGGAGGCUGCCGCACCGCACCGCACCGCACCGCACCCGGGUCCUGCACGAUGUCUGCCGCGGGGCGGGGGCUGGCGCUGGCCGCGCUGCUGGUGCUGAGCCGCGACUGGGGCUGCGCGCAGGCGGCCGGGAAGCCCAGCGUGGUGCUGAUCCUCACCGAUGACCAGGAUGUCUGCCUCGGCGGCAUGAUACCACUAAAGAAGACGAGUGCCCUUAUUGCAGAGAUGGGGAUAAGCUUCUCAAAUGCAUAUGUCCCCAGUGCAUUGUGCUGUCCCAGUAGAGCUAGCAUCUUAACAGGAAAGUACCCACAUAAUCAUCAUGUUGUCAAUAACACUCUGGAGGGAAAUUGCAGCAGCAAAUCAUGGCAGAAGAUACAGGAACCAUAUACCUUCCCAGCUCUCCUCAAGUCUAUGUGUGGCUAUCAAACAUUCUUUGCUGGGAAGUAUUUGAAUGAGUAUGGAGCAGAAGAUGCAGGGGGAAUAGGCCACGUUCCUCCUGGAUGGAGUUUUUGGUAUGCUUUGGAAAAAAAUUCAAAGUACUAUAAUUAUACUCUUUCAAUAAAUGGAAAAGCACGAAGGCAUGGUGAGAACUACAGUGCAGAUUACCUGACAGAUGUACUGGCUAACAUGUCCUUGGAUUUCUUGGAAUAUAAAUCUAACUUUGAACCCUUCUUCAUGAUGAUCUCCACUCCAGCACCACACUCUCCCUGGAUACCUGCCCCUCAAUAUAAAAAGAGCUUCCAGAAUGUCAGUGCACCAAGAAACGGCAAUUUUAACAUUCAUGGAAAGGACAAGCAUUGGCUAAUCAGGCAAGCAAAGACUCCAAUGACUAAUUCUUCAAUACAGUUUCUAGAUGAUGCUUUUAGAAAAAGAUGGCAAACACUACUGUCAGUAGAUGAUCUAAUAGAGAAACUGGUGAAAAAACUGGAAUUGCUUGGAGAGCUAGAUAAUACUUAUAUUUUUUAUACCUCAGACAAUGGCUUCCAUACUGGACAGUUUUCUUUGCCGAUAGACAAACGGCAGCUCUAUGAGUUUGACAUUAAAGUUCCAUUACUAGUUCGAGGACCAGGCAUCAAACCAAAUCAGACAAACAAGAUGCUCGUUGCAAACAUUGAUUUGGGUCCCACUAUUUUGGAUAUCGCAGGGUUUGACUUAAACAAGACACAGAUGGAUGGGAUGUCACUGUUGCCGAUUCUGAGAGGAGACAAAAAUGUGACCUGGAGAUCAGAUGUCUUAAUUGAGUACCAAGGAGAAGGACAUAACAGCAGUGAUCCUACCUGCCCUGCUCUGGGACCUGGUGUUACUCAUUGUUUUCCAGACUGUGUGUGUGAAGAUUCGUAUAACAAUACAUAUGCUUGUGUGAGGACGCUGUCAGCUACGUGGGAUCUGCAGUACUGUGAAUUUGAUGACCGGGAGGUGUUUGUGGAAGUCUACAACUUGACUGCAGACCCACAUCAACUUACUAACAUUGCUAAAACAAUAGAUCAAGAAAUUUUAGAGAAGAUGAACUAUCGCCUAAUGAUGUUACAGUCCUGCUCAGGAGCAACUUGUCGUACGCCAGGCGUCUUUGACCCAGGGUAACCUUUUUUGACUAUUUCAGCUUUUAAUUUUGUAAUCAUUCACAAUUGUGUAGCAGUUUAGGAAUGUGUCUUAUAAAAUCAGUUCCCUUGACAAGAGACUCACAAGUUUUACUUUUCCCCUUUUGUUGGAAUUAGGGAAUUCCCUUCUCUCUAAAGGUUAGUAGCUGGAUGGUGGCAUAAAUGCUUUUAAACUUAAAUCCUUGGAAAUUGUCAGGCAGUGUAGAUACUUGGUCUGAAGAAGAGAUUGUAUUAAUGGAAAGGAAGGUGCAUAUAGGACAAACUAAAUUCUAAAGCUGAAUGUUUUGUCUCAGACCUACUAUUGCAUUUUUCAUCCAGGAAACUCCAUCUAGACUUCUAAUUUAGUAUCAAUUAAUUUAAAAUGUAAAGUUGGGACUAUAAAGGCUAAAUUUAUAUAAAUUAACUGUACCUCGUGGCUGUAAGGUAUGAGAAACUAUGGACAUAUCAAAUGCAUCUUCAGUAAUGGUGUCAUUAAACACCCCUUUCCUGUAACUUUAUCAGUCACUGUUGGUUUGAAAAGAAUGCUGUCUGUCUAGCUCUUCAGCUGUGCUGACUAAUCAAAGGAACAAUGGGUUAAAUAAGGAAAUAAUCACUUGCAGAUUAUUAAAAGCUUUGGUGUGUGCUCCACACAGGAACUUUCCAACUAAAGUAUCUGCUAGCCUUAUCUCACUUCUACCUUGGAUUCAAGUCUUGACUAUUCAAAACAAGGAAUACUGUCAAACUGCCAGGAAAACAGAGCUUGUAUCAUACAGCAAAACCAUCUGUGCAGUUAGAAGGUUGCUGCUUUGUUCUGAGUUCAGAAACCACUUUUCUAGAAUUUUUACAGCACUUAAAAGGCUGUUAGUCUUCAUAAUAGGCUUGCUAAACUGCCAUAACAUUUUGCUGCUGUAAAUACUGCAGAAUAUUGACAAUGCAGCUCCUGGACACCCUUUUCCUUUAUUCAUAUGUAAUGCUACUGCAGAUACACCCUAGUGUUGUAUUUAGAUGCAACAUCUACACUGUUAGCUAGAAAUGCCACUACACUGACUUUUGUCAACUUCUUCUGUAGUAUUUGUCACUAAAUUGAAAUGUGUAGCACUGUUGUGGUAGAGGAAAAACUAGUUCCCUAUUGUGCACUGCUGAGGGAAGCAGCCAUUCCAAUGAAUUCUGGUUUAGUACUAUAUGUUAAUCUAUUAUGUUGCUGGUAAUCCUUAAUCUAAAUGUAGCUCACGCAGACCUUCUCCCUACUCUUAGGUACAGAUUUGACCCACGCCUAAUGUUCAGUCAUGGUAUUUGGGCUCACAGACUUUCCACACGGUCUCUGUAACAGCAUUUAUCAGUUGGCUUCCUGUGCUCAUUUCUUCAGAGGGACUCCAGCAGGUCUGUCUGUAUCUAACCUACAAUAAUUACAUCUGGAAUACUCAAUCAACUGGCUUUGUUAAAACUUUUAGCAGUGGGGAAGGGCAGAAUCUCUAGUCUUUAGAGGGCCACUUUGUGCCCUGUGUAUAUUUUACAACUGACCUGUAACUCCAAACAGUCAGACAUGGCUAAUCUGUUCUUGCUCAUAUACCUUGUCUUUCAAAUACUUUUUCAUAUCAGAGGUAUAGUGUUGACCUGUGACCUAUAAAUCUGACUUGGAUUUAUUUUGUUUUUGUAUGAAUAAAGACCAAGUUUAUAAACUGAAUCGUGUUAACCCAGGGCAGGCGAUAUUGCACAGAAAUCUUCACCCAUCUUCAUUCACUCUUGUACAGACUUUCCUAAAAGCUAAGUGUUUAAGAGUAGUGUUAAACACCUGUAAUUAAGUUAAGCUGGAGCAAACUACCAUAGUAUGGAAUGGGAGAGUAUAAAACAGAGAGUUAAGAGAUCUGACUGGAAACUGUCCAUCUUGCAGACUUUAAAGCACUAUACAUAAUAAUCUCCAUCUCACAGGUCUGCUUAAGCAGCUUUCAGACACAAGGAUACUCUUUCAGACUGUUUCCAAUUCAGAACAUUGUAACAGGUUAUUAGAUACAGAGGUAACUACUUAAGUUUUAAUUUAACAUUUUGAAAUAGGCUUUAUUAUGUUAAAACGAACCUGAAGUGUUGGAAUAAAACUGAGUGUCUGUAUGUUGGUCAUGAUGAACCAGCUCUGCUUCACUAAUCUGAACAGCAGUAAACAUCAGAAAACAAAGAAAUGGGCACCAUAAGAGUUGUCAUGUGCAUGUCAUCUUCAACCUUCAAGUAUCUUGUGAAUAAUUAAACAUUUCAGAUUGACGUGAUGCAUAACCUUAAAUUGGCUUUGCUUCCUGAAAGAUAAAAAUCCCAAAUCCUCGCUUAGCAGAAAUCAUGGUAGGAUGACCACUUAAGUCGGUGUGAGUGCCUCUGCCAGAGAGCUGCUGCUGUGCUGAAAACUACCUCCAUUAUGCCCUUUAUGCCAAAGGACUCUGGUAUGUUACUGCUUUUGGUAUUUGGGUAAGGAGGUAGUUGUCUGUCUUCAUCUUACUGCUAACACUAUUUUCACCCUUAUUUAUUCCAUAUCAAUAUUUUUAAGUGAUGUUUGCCUUUCUAAAUUUAGGUGAUUUUCUAAGUUCAAAAGCUAGCAAGCUUACUAAAUUAAUUUCCAUAGAAAUGCAUUACCAAACCAUCUGCUAGAAACCUAGUGAAUUAUCAUUUGAUCUCACAGGAUCCUAUAAGAAAAUCAUCCUGCUUGAAGGUAGUUGAACUGUAGCUUAAGGAAAAAACCAUUUACAUAUUUUUUUCAUUGUCAAAUUUAAAGCUCUCCUUAUUUUAAGCUGUUACUAUUUACUGUUUCUGAUUUUAAUAUAUCUACUUAUCCAUUUAGAAAACAAUAUCCUUAAGUCAGAAGAGUAGGUACUUUCUGAAUUGGUGUAUUGUCAAGUACAUGAAGCCAAGUAAGUAUUAUUUCAGACAGCUGAACCAUAAGAAUAGAUCUAAUAUCAGAAACCAAAAAGUACAUCCCAUUUCACAGCUUCUUGAAUCUGGUAAAAGCAACACUUAUGAACAUAGUAUUGACUACAUUUUACUUCAGUACUGGCAGACUUGACCAGCUACUCUUCAUCCUUCUUCCUUGUGUGACUUCCAACAGGAGGUAAACUUGAUUCCACCCAUAAUCAUAUGGUGAACAGAUUUAAUUUUGCCUCCCAAAUCAGAACAUAUUUAUUGUUGAUCCAGAAGAAUUAGAGAUGCCUGGGGAAAACUAACAGCUGCUGAAAGGGACCCUAAAACUAAGGGAACGUACUGAGAGGGUGUUUCUCUGAAAGCAUAUUACAACACCCCACUACUUUCAGUCUCCUCCCAUUAAAUUACUUGGAUCCUUUGAAAUAUUCCAUCUUCUUUAUCUACCGUAAUUACGAUUUUUCAACUUCUUUUCUCCUCCAUUCACCAAAACAUCUUAUCCCACUUCAAUGUCUUUGAGCCUCUGGUCUCUUCUACAAACACCACUCCUUCCUAAUCAGUGUGUUCCCUGGCAUCUUACCUUUUUCCUUAACCAUGUGUUAGGUCCUGCAACAAGUUUUUGCUUGUACUCUUUGACCAAGCCAAAAGUGAUCUAAACGCUCAUUUAACAAUAUAUUUGUCUGACAGUACUACACUUAAGAUUUGUGUUCUGCUUUUUAGUUAAAUUUGCUGGUGGCUGUACUUAAUUGUAGGUUGUGAAGGGUCUGGUGAGGCAAGUCUUCAAUCAGUGAUGUAUGCAUUAAACUUUCAGCAUCUCUGUCUGAAGUAUUCUAGCUGGUCAUAGAAUUGAAGUUCCAGUGUAUAUAUUUACUAAGUGUCAGCAAUGCAAUGGUGGUCAUUGUCCACAACAUUGGUGUGUGGUUUUUUUAAGUAGACGUUUCUUUUUGUAGAAAAAGCUACUAUAUAAUCAUGACCAAAAGUAUAAUUUGAUAUAACCACAUUUCCUGGUAUGGCAUACUUGGUUAGCAGGAAGAAUUUUAGUCUUUAAUGAUAACUGUGUAUCUUGCAUAUUCUACCUCUACAAUUCAUUGAUAUGGAAAUUGAUUGUAUAGAACUGGUGUAGAAUAUCCAAGCAGUCAGAUCAGCGGGAAGAAUUUUGCCCUAACUUAACACAUUCUUAGUAUUUUCAUGCGGAAAACAUACUGGUCAUUCAUUUCAGUUGCCGCCAGACUUGUACCCUUAUGUUGCCUUUUUCUCACUUACCAUGAGUCUACCACCCACCCACAUCUGAAGUCUGCCAGUUAACAAAUGUGAUUUACCACAGAAAACCUUUACAUCACCACAUUCUACUCAUCAGUCCUGCUGAGAUUUAGCAAAAACACAAACACUUCUGAAGAAACCUGCCCUGGAAGUGCAUUUUUAAGCUUAGUUGAAUAUCAAAGGCACACAGCUGAAGGAAGAACAGUAACAAUCAGCUGCUGCCCUGUUUUUUGCUCUGAUUUAACUGUUCAGUAUUUUUUUCACAGGAUGCAAUAAAUCCUAUGGAUAUCUUCACACUCCUAAAUGGUCACUAUUCACUUUUUCUUGAUAACUGAAAUAACAGGUUAUGAAGGAACUUUAAAUUACAGCUAGACCAAAUUCCAGAACACAACUGGUUCAAAAAUUGAGCCUUCCUAUGUUCCAUUUAAUAACUGGCUGAACAUGGCUGUGUCCACACUUGCACCUUAUUACUUGAGCCAUUUAAUUGUUGAAAAUGAAUAGAAGCCUUACUAGUCUUUCAUAUAAAAUGUGAUUAUAGGUCAUUCUAAUCUGAUUAAGCAGAUACUACUUUUUUCUGCAAAACAUAACACAAAUUCCUUUAUUGCAGCAGAAGCAAAACUGUUGCAUCUAUUAACACAAAUAUCCUUAAUCACUUAACUGAAAGUAUUGUCACUUUAGCAUGAGUGAAGAUAUCUGCUAAGUGCUUAGGGCUUUGGAAUUGACUUCUUGCAUAUCAGGGAGUAAAAGUUGCUUUCACAGAUUGUUGUUCCCUAGAGUGCUGAACUUAAAUAAUCUAUAGUAGGGGCAGUAGUCUCUUAAAGACUAAGAUAACUUAAUAAAGUCUAAAUCUGUUUAAAUUGAUUGACUAUAUAAGGCAAAUACAGACAUUUGGUUGUAAUGCUGCUGAAUCAAUGAAGAUGGCUGUUAAAUUAUUUUUUUAAUGUGCAACUUUAUAUGUAUUCCUAACUUGUUCCUUUUUUGUACAGUGUCUGACUACUUCACUGUGGACUUACUAAUUUCUGCUCUCUAUUGUACCAUAACUAUUUUGUUUAGAAAGUGCCCUUCAAAGGACCCUGUUCACUGCUGCACCUUUUUGAAAAUAAAAAUUGUCUA